CGCAGUCUUUUUCUAGUCGGCUCGCCGGCACAGCAUCAGCAGCAUCAGCAGCAUCUACUCGCAGCAGUCACGUGAUCCGUAACCGUUUUUUGGUCAUUUGUGUGGAAGCGCGCUCCUCCUCCUCUUCCUCUUCCUCCUCCUCCUCCUCCUCUUCAUCCUCCCGCAUAUUCCUCCUCUCUCCUCUUCUCCUCCUCGCUGGCUUGUCACGCUGGAGGAGGGCGGGAGCAUCAAGUCUCUCUCACCGGACUUGCACGUCCUUCCUCUCGGUCCUGCAUCAUCAACAUCAGCACCACCACCAACAUCCUCCUAGAGUCCAAUCCUCUCUGGAGCGCUUUUUAUUUCUCCGGACUAUCUAGCUAGUCUUUCCUUUUGGAGUGGGAGGGGUGGGAGUGUGUGCGUGUGUGUGUGUGUUUGUGUGUGCGAGGGGGUUGUUUCCUCCAUUUGGACCACUUGGACUAUACUGGACUGGACUGGAGCUUCUUUUUCUUUUUUUGUGUGCUUUUUUUUGUGGAUGUGCUGCUGCUGCCGCUGCUGCUGAAUGAGCUCGCCAUGGAGCUGCUGCUGGUUUGCUUCUCCUUGUGGAUAUUGCAAUGCAACUCGGCCAAAGCGGACUCCAUCAUACACAUCGGGGCCAUAUUCGAGGAAAACGCGGUGAGGGAUGACGAGAUAUUCCAGCUCGCCAUCUCGGACCUGUCCCUCAACGACGACAUCCUGCAAAGCGAGAAGAUCACCCACUCUGUCAAACUGGUGGAGCCCAACAACCCCUUCCAGGCCGUGCAGGAAGCAUGCGAGUUGAUGAACCAAGGCAUUCUCGCCCUGGUCACAUCCACGGGCUGUGCCGCUGCCAGCGCCCUGCAGUCUUUGACCGACGCCAUGCACAUCCCCCACCUCUUCAUCCAGAGGAACGGGGACGGCGCCCCCCGCACGGCCUGCCAGCUCAACCCCAGCCCGGACGGAGAAAGUUACACCCUGGCCGCUCGUCCCCCGGUCCGGAUCAACGACGUCCUGCUCACCCUGGUCUCGGAGCUGCACUGGCAGAAGUUCAUCAUCUUCUACGAGAGCGACUACGACAUCCGCGGUCUGCAAAGCUUCAUGGACCAGGCUUCUCGACUGGGCCUGGACGUGUCCCUGCAGCGGGUGGACCGCAACGUCAGCCAGGUCUUCACCGACCUCUUCAGCACACUGCGGACCGAGGAGCUCAACCGAUACCGGGACACGCUGCGGCGGGCCGUGCUGCUCAUGAGUCCCCGCGGAGCACAGGUGUUCAUCCACCAGGCUUUGGAGACCAACCUGGCGUCCAAGGACAGUCACUGGGUCUACGCCAACGAGGAGGUGAGUGACGCUGACAUCAUGGAGCUGGUCCACAGCUCCCUGGGCCGCAUGACCCUCAUCCGUCAAGUGUUCCCGCUGUGGAAGGACACCAACGUCCGCUGCAUGAGGAACAACCAUCGCAUCUCCUCGCUACUGUGCGACCCUCAGGAAGGCUACCUGCAGUCCCUGGAGGUGUCCAACCUGUACCUGUAUGACAGCGUUCUGAUGCUGGCCAACGCCUUCUACAGGAAGCUGGAAGACAGGAAGUGGCACAGCAUGGCCAGCCUCAACUGCAUGAGGAAGUCCACCAAGCCAUGGAAUGGGGGUUGGUCCAUGUUGGAUACCAUCCAGAAGGGACGCAUCAGUGGCCUGACGGGAAUGAUGGACUUCCGGGCGGAGGGCUCCAAUUCUCACGUGCAAUUUGAGAUUCUGGGAACCAGCUACAGCGAGACCUUCGGGAAGGAUGUGAAACGGUUGGCGUCAUGGGAUUCCACCCGGGGUCUGAAUGGAAGCUUAAAGGAGAACCGGAUCGAGAGCGGAAUGCAGGGCGUGACGCUCAACAUCGUGACGUUACUGGAAGAGCCUUUCGUGAUGGUGGCAGAGAACAUUCUGGGCCAGCCCAAGAGAUACAAGGGCUUCUCCAUUGAUGUCCUGGAUGCCCUGGCCAAGAUCCUGGGCUUCAAGUACGACAUCUACCAAGUGGAAGACGGCAAGUACGGCUCAGCGCUCCCCAACGGCUCCUGGAACGGAAUGAUGGGCGAGCUCAUUGGCAAGAAGGCGGACAUAGCCGUGUCAGCCAUCACCAUCACACCAGAGCGAGAACGAGUGGUGGACUUCAGCAAACGCUACUUGGACUACUCGGUGGGAAUCCUGAUGCGCAAGUCAGAAGAGAAGAUCAACAUCUUCUCUUUGCUGGCGCCAUUCGACCUCGCCGUUUGGGCGUGCAUCGGCGCCGCCAUCCCGGUGGUGGGCGUCAUGAUCUUUCUGCUCAGGCGCAUCCAGGCCGUGCGUUGCCAGAAGAACACGGGUGGCCACCCGCCACCCUCGGUGUCCACUUCGCUACAGAGCGCCAUCUGGAUUGUCUAUGGCGCUUUUGUCCAGCAAGGCAGCGACUCCAUCCUGGGAUCGGUGGCGCUGCGUAUCGUGAUGGGCAGCUGGUGGCUCUUCACCCUCAUCGUGUGCUCAUCCUACACAGCCAACCUGGCCGCCUACCUCACCGUGUCCCGCAUGGACAACGCCAUACGGUCUUUCCAGGACCUGUCCAAGCAGGUGGACCUGGCCUACGGGACGGUGAGGGACUCGGCCGUGUAUGACUAUUUCCAAGCCAAAGGCACCAACCCUCUGGAGCAGGACAGCACCUUUGCUGACCUCUGGAAGACCAUCAACAAGAACAACGGAUUUGAGAACUCCGUCUCGGGCCCUGAUGAAGGCAUCAAGAAGGCAAAGCGGGAGUCGUACGCCUUUCUGUGGGACAUGGCGGUGGUGGAAUAUGCCGCUCUGACAGACGACGACUGCACGCUGACGGUGGCCGGCAACAGCAUCAGCACCAGAGGCUACGGUGUGGCCCUGCAGCACGGCAGCCCUUACAGGGACCUCUUCUCUCAGAAGAUAUUAGAGCUUCAGGAGAAAGGCGACCUGGACAUCUUGAAGCAGAAGUGGUGGCCAAAGAAGGGCCGCUGCGACCUGCAGAGCCACGCCGACGCCCAGACGGAGGGCAGGGCGCUGCACCUCCACAGCUUUGCCGGGGUCUUCUGCAUCCUGGCGGCUGGACUGCUGCUGGCCCUGCUGGUGGCGGCGCUGGAGACCUGGUGGAACAGCAACCACUGCCGAAGAAAGGAGCCCAAAGAGGACAAAGAAGUGAACCUGGAGCAGGUCCACCAGCGUUUAAACAGCCUCCUGGAUAAAGACCUGGCCCACAAGCAGCUGCCGGGCCAGUCUAUCGAGAUCUCCGCUCUGGACAUUAGCAGCAUGCAGCCCAGCCAGUCUCUGGAGGUCUUGUCUGCUCGGGAGUACCCCACCCACCGGGGGCCACCGCCACCCCUCUCGGUGAGCACCUUCCUGCGGGAGGGCCACGGGGCCGGGAGGACACUAGGCGCGGUGGGCGGCCGGACCUUGCCCCUGCCUCUCAGCAGCGCCACCAUGCCCUCCAUCCGAUGCAAACACAGGGCACCCAACGGGGGGCUCUUCCUCCAGAGCCCGGUCAAGACGCCAAUGCCCAUGUCCUACCAGCCGGUGCCGGGGGGGCCCAUCUCGGAGGGGGAGGCCAGCCACGGGACCUCCAUCUGAGCAUCUGAGGUGACUCACUUGACCAGCGUGGAGGAGAGAUAUAAAUAGAAAAUAAGAAAACAUCUUUUUAUUACCAGUGGAGACACCAGACAAGACAGAAGAGACUCUUCAUGUACAUAUUUGUAACUAUAAAGAGAGAACAAGCCACAUUACAAAGUGUAUUUUGAAUAUUCUCCAGAGUUGAGUAUAAAAAAAAAAAGAAAAGUAUUUAAAAAAAAAAAUACUGUUUGAAUGGCUUUGUAUUUUUUUUUUGUUCUCUACAAAAUAAAGGUGACAAUUUUUUUUUUGUGUUGGUUGUUUUCAAAGUGCCAAGAUGUUUUCUUUCAGAUAACUGAAUGUACUGUGAGAAGAACUCAUGAACAACAACGACAACUAAAAGACAUUUGACAGGAAAAGACAUUUCAACAAUGAUGAUUUGUUUCCUAUGAAAAGAAUAAAAAAGUAUAUUACAAAAAUGUGAGCUGUUCUGCUGCUUGUGUGAGCUAUGAAGAGGAUUACGAUUACUACGGCUACGACUACCACAACUACCGGGUUGCCUUUGAUGAUUCUAUGUGAUACACUCAUUGUGGGGUAAUUUAACCAUAUGUUUAUUAUUACUAAAGUAGUUUGUGGUUGCUAUUAUUUAUCUAUUAUUUAGGUGUAUAUGUUUAUAUGUUUGCUAGUGAGAGUGAGUAAAAAUAUGUCCUGCUAUGGUUUUUGUUUUAAAUGCUGUUAUUAUUUGAGCCAUAAUGCAACCAUUCCCGCCUAACCAGAUUAAAGAUGGUACAGUCUAGUCUACAUUGCAGCUAGCAGCAAGUGGAUGAAUGGCAGCCAUCUUGGAUGUGAUCAACAACUUUGUGAAACCUGUCAGGGAACAUGGCUGGUCGGCUGACGCACCAUUAUUGUCAUCAUCCACUCGCUGUGUCAUCACAGCUAGAACUAGCUAGCUGCUAGCAUACGUCAUUAUCUAGCAUGUGGCCCUUGGUGGAAAAAGUUUGGACACCCCUGCUUUAGCAUCAACCAGCAAUAAGGGGGAUGGAUGGCAGCCAUCUUGGAUGUGCCAGAUUGCAGUCCUGGGGGAAACUGCACUGCAAGCAUGGUCGUCAAGUAGAGACGAAAAACAUCACUCUCUCAAACAGAGAGGAAAGGAAAGGCGUCAACUUCCCAGGAGGGCGAACAACAAUGCAUGUUCCCAUUCUUUGUACUGAAGGAGGACU